rnacentral:rRNA from 1 species
AAAGGGAGGAGCCCAGCGCCGAAUCCCCGACCUCCGGUCGCGGGAAAUGUGGCGUUUAGGAGUGAGCGUGCCGGGAUCGGAGCGGGCGGCAAGUCCCCCUGACCGGGGCCUGUCCAUAGCGGGUGCGAGGCCCAUAGCCGCCCUUUCCGUCUCGGAUGCGAUCUCCUUGGAGUCGGGUUGCUUGGGAGUGCAGCCCCAAUCGGGUGGUAAACUCCACCUAAGGCUAAAUACCGCCGUGAGACCGAUAGCAAACAAGUACCGUGAGGGAAAGUUGCAAAGAACUUUGAAGAGAGAGUUCAAGAGUACGUGAAACUGCUCAGAGGUAAACGGGUGGGCCCUCGAAAUCCUGUGGCGAGAGGAUUCAGUCUGGAGGGGUCGGACUCCGGCUCGGAAGUUCGGCAGGGCUUCCCGGGACCGGGGCCGUCCGGKCCGGAGCGUUCCGCCUCWCCAGACGCAUUUGUCUCUCGUCCGAAGGACGCCGCAGCCGGUCGGGCAGUGCAAGCGCGUCGGCCUGAAGGCGGGGAGCCGGCAGGUGGCCGGUGGCGCGCCUCGUGCGCGUCGCCGGUUGUUAGCCUUCCCCGCAGUGGCUCGACGCCCGACCGUGGUGUCGCAAGGCCCUUUCACGGGCCUCCACGUCUCCUCUCGGCGGGGCGGACGGUCGCAGGUGAGCUCCGCUGUUCCGUCGCACUCCCUCGGAGUGGACGGACGAACGGAGGGCUCCGCUGGCGAUCGCGGACCCGUCGGGGACCGGGGGCUGGCGGCGAGUAGGUCGGUCACCCACCCGACCCGUCUUGAAACACGGACCAAGGAGUCUAACAUGUGCGCGAGUCAGUGGGUCUUGAACAGGCCCACGGGCGCAAUGAAAGCGAAAGUCGGCCUCGCGUCGACCGAGUCGGGAUCCCCCCGCCUCGGCGGGGGGCGCACCGACGACCCGUCCUAUUCGGCUCGCCGUUUGGGCGGAGUCUGAGCGUACACGUUGGGACCCGAAAGAUGGUGAACUAUGCCCGGACAGGACGAGGCCAGAGGAAACUCUGGU